GUGAUUUUACAACGAGAUGCUGCUCUCCAUAGGGAUGCUCAUGCUGUCAGCCACACAAGUCUACACCAUCUUGACUGUCCAGCUCUUUGCAUUCUUAAACCUACUGCCUGUAGAAGCAGACAUUUUAGCAUAUAACUUUGAAAAUGCAUCUCAGACAUUUGAUGACCUCCCUGCAAGAUUUGGUUAUAGACUUCCAGCUGAAGGUUUAAAGGGUUUUUUGAUUAACUCAAAACCAGAGAAUGCCUGUGAACCCAUAGUGCCUCCACCAGUAAAAGACAAUUCAUCUGGCACUUUCAUCGUGUUAAUUAGAAGACUUGAUUGUAAUUUUGAUAUAAAGGUUUUAAAUGCACAGAGAGCAGGAUACAAGGCAGCCAUAGUUCACAAUGUUGAUUCUGAUGACCUCAUUAGCAUGGGAUCCAACGACA
rnacentral:circRNA from 1 species